AGUAAACAUGUGGAGUUUCCAUUUAUAGAAGGAUACUGUGACAGAUAGGGCAAGAAUUAAACAAAGGGAUGUAAGCAUUUAUUUAUCUAACAUAGACAAUUCAGAUAUAAGGACCAAGGAAAAUACAUAUCUGCAGAAAACAUUGAGUAGCCAUAGUUGGUGUCUAAUUAAUUUAAUGUUUUGCAAAAAAAAUCUUUUUAUUUAAGAAAAAAUCAAGAGAGAGAUAGAGACCAGUCAUAUACAGUAAAUAUUACCAUAUAUUUUAAAAGAAUAUGUUUUGAAAAAUAGAGAGAUUAAUUCGAACAUGUCUAAUCAGUAAGAGCAACUCCAGCAGGCCGGAGUUGCCAAAUUCGUAGACUAUAUUUGUGACGCCCCCAAAAUAGGUAUACAUCACCCAUCUUGAGUCGCCAAAUACAUGGUACAAAAAAUACAAAUACAACUUAAUAAUACAACUAUCGUGUAAAAUACGACAAAACAUAAACUGAGAGUUUUAAUAAGAAUAUUGUCAUCUAGACAAUAUCCACACUCAAUCGAGUCCUCAUUACAUUUAUUGUCACACUAUUUAAUAGAAUAGUGAGGACUACUAAUGCUAUCAUCUGGACAGUCACUCCUUUCCCAGACUCGUCCCAGCUAUAUUCUCAUUUCCUGAAGAGAACAGUGAAAGAAAAGGGUAAGCUCAACUAGCCCAGUAAGAAAUAUCGUGACUAAGAUAAUGCAGAAUAAAUUAUCAUUAGUCUUCAACAAUGUUAAACUAAUAAAAUAUAAUAGACAUCAAGUUUAAUUGCAGUGGAACAAGCAAUCCAUUAGAAGAGUCAAGUAGAGAAUAAAAUCUAUUAUCUACUAUCAUUUAAAAAGUUUUCAUCAAUUUUUAUCACUGAAACUCAGCUCAACAAAUAAACCACAUCAUCGAGUCAUCCCUGCACUACGGGCCAAGGAUAUUCAUUAAAUAAUCCAUGGUCAUGACUAUACCGAAUAAUCCCUGGUCAUAAUCAUACCAAAAACUGUCCAUCAAUGCACUACAGGCUACUGAGGACUUUUACCACCUCAUUUAUAACAUUACAGGUCAUGAUUAUACCGAAUGAUCCCUGGUCAUAAUCAUACAAAGUUCAUCUAUGCACGUAAGCCAAAGAUGACUUUUAUCAUAAUAUAAGCAUGACGAUGAUGACAAUGACAUAAUAAUUCAAUAAAACAAGUUCAAGAAUAAAUUUUAAAAAUUUAUAAGUUAAUUUAUCCUGAACUCAAUAAUGUCCAAAUUAUCAACAUGAUACUUCUUUGUGGAGUAAAAAUUCAAGAAUGUUCAGAAAAAUAUUUUCAUUAAAAGAUACUAGAUGAAGCGCAAAUAUCAAAGAUAUUUCACUAAUUUUAUGGAGUAUAGAAGUCAAAGCUUUAACCAACUAAGUAUAAGAGAAUAUAUAAAACUACAAAUGGAUUUUCGGCCGCCACGCGGUACUCCACUUAGACAGAUCAUUUCCAUAAUUUAAUAAGGAGUGAAUACAAAGGUUCAUUCACCAUGCAUGUGAUAAUCCACAUAGACAGGUUAUUCCAACAGAAUGAUAAAGAAUGGAAUAACAGAAGAAAUAAUCAUGCAUGCGAUAAACCGCACAGACAGGUUAUUCCAACAUAAUAAUAAAGAAUGAAACUAGGUCAUGCGUAAACAUACUGACAGGAUAUUCCGACAGAAUAAUAAAUAAUGGAACCAGGUCCGGCGUAAACGCACAGACAGGAUAUUUCGACAGAAUAAUAAAUGAUGGAACUAGGUCCGGCGUAAACGCACAGACAGGAUAUUUCGACAGAGUAAUAAAGAACGGAAUAAUAGAAGAAUUUCACCAUGUAUACGGUACUUCGCAUAAACAGGUUAUUCCAACAUAAUAAUGAAGAAUGGAAUAACAGAAUAAUUUCACCAUGUAUGCGGUACUUUGCAUAAAUAGGUUAUUCCAACAGAAUAAUAUGGGAUGGAAUAACAAUAGCUCUCUUCAUGAAUACGAAAGAAAUAAUACCCCUUACCUCAGAAGAAACUGGAUACUGGAAUAGUGACGUAGCAGGCUUCUCUUCUUCUUUCUCUUUAUAGAUUUUCCCUCUAUAGCUUCUCUCUAUAAUUUCUCUCUAUAAUAAUUGUUCUAUAGCUUUAGUGAAUUGGAGAGAAAUGAAGGAAGAAUGAGCUUCUAUUUAUAGAAAAAUAUAGUUUUGAUAAUUGCACGUUUUGGGGCUCGAAAAAUUACAGUACAAUACCUCCAACUUUUCUUUCAUUUUUAAUUUAGUCCUGCAAGUAUUAUCAAACUUGCACCACCUCCCCUAAUAGUAAAUAAUGUGAAUCAAUAGUUCAAUUAUGUUAAUCAAUAGUUAUAAUCAUGUGAAAAUACGAAUUACGGUAUAGUACCUCCAUCUAUACUUCCAUCUUUAAUUUAAUCAUGCAAGAAUUAUCAAUCUUGCACCAAUUCCCCUAAUAGUAUAAGAAUGUGAUUCAAUAGUACACACAUGUGAACAAAUAGUUAUAUAAGCAUGUGAAUUAGUAGCAAUUAAUUGAUCAUUUAUCCGAUAAAUUCCCUGAUUUAUCAAUAUAACCCCCAGACAUCAAUUAUCAUCUGAAUAGAUGUCGAUUACCACUAACAUUAAUAAUCCCAACACAAUGGAACUAUCAAAUUCAUCUUUAAUCAAUAUGAAAUUAUUCAUCAUUAAUAUUAUAACUCAUAAUAUUUAACAACCAGGUCGUUCUCAGGAAAGAGGGGGCUUUCCAAUAAGGAUUUCUCCCUAUUGGCGCGCAAUUAGGUGACCAAACCUCUCCUUGGCAGAAGUUCUAGACAUUAUAAAUAUUACAAUUUAAUAAUAUGAAUAACUUUAUCGUCUCAAUUAUUGAUUUAAUAAUAUAUCAUAUAGUGCAGAUGAUACUGUGACAAUAAUCGAAUCAAUAAUAUGAGAGAUAUGAUGCAAUAAUUACUGUAGCAAUAAUUAAGUAUAACUGAGUGACUUCUCACGUAAGCAUCAAUAACCAAUACCGUGUGCUACUAUGCAACCACGCGUAUUACUAUACUUUUACUACCGUGUAGUUCAACAGUUUUAACGAUAACACUUUCGCCUUUAUUUUUAUAACAAGAUAAUUCUGUCAUUUUCUUACUACGACAAUACUUCCGUUGUGGGGUCCACCAAUGAUUGUGCCGUCGUAUGAAUAUUCCCUGUUAAAACGAAUAUUCCCCGACCAAUCGAAUAUUAUAUAACCACUUGAUUACUUUGCAAAAUUUGUAAAUAUUACCCACAACUAUAACAUUAUAUAAUAUUCACACCAUAAUAUUCAAAAAUAUGUUUCGAGAGAAAUUAAUCUUUAUUCAUAAAAGUUGGGGUCUUACAACCUCCCCUUCUUAUGAAAUUUCGUCCUCGAAAUUAGGGUGUGUACCUGGUAUAUCGAAGAGGUGAGGAUAUCUUGACUUCAUCUCAGAUUCUAACUCCUAGGUCAUUUCUUCCACAUCGUGAUUUCUCCACAAAACUUUGACUUGAGGUAUAACCUUGGAGCAUAGAAUAUGAUCCUUCUUUUCCAAGAUUUUAACAAGUAACUCUUCAUACGUUAAAUCUUCCUCUAUCUCGUCUGGUUCUAAUUCAAUAAUGUGAUUCGGGUCUUUCACAUAUUUACGUAACAUAGAUAUGUGGAAAACGUUAUGAACAUGAGACAUACUUGGCGGUAAGGCGAGUCUAUAGGCCACAGUUCCUACUCGUUCGAGUAUUAUAAAUGGGCCAAUGAAUCGAGGAUUGAGUUUUUCUCUCUUUCCAAAUCUUGUAACUCCUUUCCAUGGAGCAACACGUAACAACACAUGAUCUCCAAUAUUGAAUUCCACGUCCUUUCGAUAAAGAUCAGCAUAACUCUUUUGUCGAUCUUGUGAGGUUUUUAUACGUUGUCGGAUUGUUUGAAUCUUUUCCGUAGUCAUACGUACCAAAUCCGGUCCCAACAACAUUGCUUCACCCACCUCAUCCCAACAUACUGGAGAACGACACUUUCUUCCAUAUAACGCCUCAAAUGGAGCCAUGCCAAUACUUGCUUGAUAACUAUUGUUGUAGGAAAACUCCACCAAUGGUAAGAACUUAUUCCAACUUCCCUUGAAGUCAAGGACACAUAGUCUUAAUAAAUCCUCAAGAGUUUGAAUAGUCCUCUCUGAUUGUCCGUCCGUUUGAGGAUGAUACGCCGAACUAAAUCGUAAAUUCGUGCCCAUAGCUUUUUGCAAACUAACCCAAAAUCUUGAAGUGAAUCUUGGGUCUCGAUCAGAAACUAUGGAUACUGGCAUACCAUGCAGUCUUACAAUCUCGUUUAUGUAUAUACGAGCAAGACGUUCAAAUGUAUAAGUUUCUCGUAUCGGUAAGAAAUGAGCAGACUUGGUCAAUCUAUCAACAAUGACCCAAAUCGCAUCUAUGCCUUGAGAAACCUUGGGAAGACCAGUAACGAAAUCCAUGGUAAUGUGCUCCCACUUCCAUUUUCAAGUGGUUGCAAUGGACCUUUUGGCACUUGAUGCUCCGCCUUGACUCGUUGACAAGUUAGACACCUUGAGAUAAACAGCGUUAUCUCUCUCUUCAUAUUGCUCCACCUAAAUGUAUGUCGAAGAUCACGAUACAUUUUGGUACUCCUAGGAUGGAUUGCAAACGGUGUGUUGUGCGCCUCCAUCAUGAUUUUAUACUUCAAAUCAGAAUCGUUAGGAACACAAAGUCUGGAGUUGACUCGAAGUAUUCCUUCUUCAUCGAUUCUUGCUUCCGGAAUAGCACCUUCUUGUACUUUUUUUCUCAUACGUAUCAGCUCUAGGUCUGUAGCUUGAGCAGCUUUAUCUUUAUCGAUUAAAGUUGGUUCCACUCGUAUAUUCGCCAUCAUCACAUGGGUCCCUGGAGUCUUUAACUCUAUUUCCAUCCUUUCCAAGUCAUACACAAUGGGCCUUUGCAUUGACAAUAAUUCACUCGUGCCCGCAUAUGAUCUUCUACUCAAUGCGUCAGCUACUACGUUCGUUUUUCCAGGAUGGUAUUGGAUGGUAUGAUCAUAAUCUUUCAACAACUCAAGUCAUCAUCGUUGUCGCAUGUUGAGUUCCUUUUGAGUGAAGAAAAUAUUUGAGGCUUUUAUGAUCCGUAUAGAUCUCCACCUUCUUUCCAUACAGGUAAUGCCUCCAAAUCUUAAGUGCGAAGACAACAGCUGCCAACUCUAGAUCAUGAGUAGGAUAAUUCUUCUUAUAUUCUUUGUCGUGAGGCAUAAGGUAUGACUUUCCCAUGUUUCAUGAGAACACAUCCUAACCCUUUACCUGAAACAUCACUGUAAAUGACAAAUCCCUCUGUGCUAGAUGGUAUUGUCAGAACAGGUACUGAAAUGAGUCUCCUCUUGAGUUCUUAAAAACUCUUCUCACAUUCCUCGCUCCAACUGAAUUUUGUAUCUUUUCGAGUCAGCUGCAUUAAUAGAGUAGCAAUUCAAGAAAACCCUUCUACGAAUCUCUGAUAAUAACCAGCUAAGCCGAGAAAGCUACGUACUUCAGUUACUUCAAUUACUGACUUAGGUUGCUCCCAACUUUGAAUUGCUUCAAUCUUUGCCAGGUCAACAAAUAUUCCAUGAUUUGAUAAUACGUGCCCAAGGAAUGCUACUUCCUCAAGCCAGAACUCGCAUUUCUUCAACUUGGCAUAUACCUUGUUUUCACGAAGCUUUUUAAGUAUCAGCCUCAAGUGUUGCUCAUGGUCUUCACGGGUUUUGGAAUAAAUGAGGAUGUCAUCAAUAAAGACGACCACAAAGUGAUCCAAAUAUUCCUUGAAUACUCGGUUCAUCAUAUCCAUGAAGGCAGCAGGAGCAUUAGUCAAUCCAAAAGACAUGACUAUGAAUUUAUAAUGCCCAUACCGAGUUCUGAAAGCAGUCUUUGGAAUGUCAUCAGUUUUAAUCUUCAACUGAUGAUAUUCAGAACGAAGAUCAAUAUUUGAAAAGAAUUUGGCGCCUUGCAACUGGUCAAACAGAUCAUCAAUACGAGGUAACGGGUACCUAUUUUUUAUGGUGAUAUAAUUCAACUCCCGAUAAUCAAUACAAAGUCGCAUACUUCCAUCUUUCUUCUUCACGAAUAGGACAGGAGCACCCCAAGGAGACGUACUAGGACGAAUGAAACCGAUGUCUAACAAUUCCUGUAGUUAGGUUUUUAACUCCUGAAGUUCAAUAGGAGUCAUUCGAUAUGGGGCUUUGAAAAUGGGUUUUGUACCGGUUUCAAGAUCGAUACAAAAUUCAAUUUCACGCUCUGGGGGUAGGCCAGGAAGUUCUUCAGGGAAUACGUCAGGAAAUUUAUUAACAAUAGAAAUAUCAUUCAAAUCUGACGUAUUUUUAUUUAAAUCCGUGACAUGGGCUAAGAAAGCUUGACAUCCGUUUUUCAAUAAACGAAUAGCUUUAUGGCUUGAUAUGACAGUGAUUGAUUUUAGUGGUUUGGCUGCUUGAAUUCGUAUAAUAGGUUGGUUAGGAAUAUGAAAGCUAACAACCUUACGAAAACAAUCGAUUUUAGCAUGAUGAAUAGUUAACCAAUCAAUCCCUAAAAUCACAUCAAAUGCAAGUAUUUUCAAAGAAAUAAGAUUGACAGAUAACGUGCGGUUACCGAUUUGAAUCAAACAAGACUUAUAAACAGUGGAUGUAAUGAAGGUUUCUCCCAACGGAGUUUCAACUGAUAAGUCAAGGUCUAAUUUCUCCGGAGUCAAAUUUAAACGUUGAGCGCAAGUAGGAGAAAUGAAAAAAUAGGUAGAACUAGUAUCAAAUAAAGUAUAAAUUUCGCUAGACUUUAUGAUUAACUUACCUGUGAUCACCUCGUUCGGAUUCCUCACUUUUUGGGAGGUCACGACAAACGCUCUUCCUUGAACUACCGAUUUUGUCUUGUCUGGGACCCCCUUUGAUGCCUCCAUCCCAGCUGGACUUGACUUUGGUACACGGCAAAAUCGGGCUAGGUAGCCUUCUUUUCCACAAUUAUAACAUGCUUUGGACUACAUCGUGCAGUUUGGACUUAUGUGUCCUUCCCCUCCACAUUUGUAACAUACGACCGGCGGUCGUUCUUCUUCCUUAACAGCGAGUGCUGGUGCUGACGUCUUUCAAUCUUUGCUGAACCUUCUCUUCUUGAACUUUCCACUCCUAUUGUCAUGGCAAUGAUUACCACCGAAGUGGUUAUCACUUCUGGCAAGUUGAUUCCCUCUGCGUUAUUCAUUGAAUCAUCCAUGGUCAUAACUAUACCGAAUAAUACCUGGUCAUAAUCAUACCAAAAAUUGUCCGUCAAUGCACUACAGGCUACUAAGGACUUUUACCACCUCAUUUAUAACAUUACAGGUCAUGAUUAUACCGAAUGAUCUCUAGUCAUAAUCAUACAAAGUCCAUCUAUGCACUUAAGCCAAAGAUAACUUUUAUCACAAUAUAAGCAUGAGGAUGAUGACAAUGACAUAAUAAUUCAAUAAAACAAGUUCAAGAAUAAAUUUUAAAGAUUUAUAAGUUAAUUUAGCAUGAACUCAAUAAUAUUCAAAUUGUCAACAUGAUACUUUUUUGUGGAGUAAAAAUUCAAGAAUGUUCAGAAGAAUAUUUUCAUUAAAAGAUACUGAAUGAAGUGCAAAUAUCAAAGAUAUUCCACUAAUUUCAUGGAGUAUAGAAGUUAAAGCUUUAACCAACUAAGUAUAAGAGAAUAUAUGAAACUACAAAUGGAUUUUCGGCCGCCACGCGGUACUCCACUUAGACUGAUCAUUUUCAUAAUUUAAUAAGGAAUGAAUACAAAGGUUCAUUCACCAUGCAUGUGAUAAUCCACAUAGACAGGUUAUUCCAACAGAAUGAUAAAUAAUGGAAUAACAGAAGAAAUCAUUAUGCAUGCGAUAGACCGCACAGACAGGUUAUUCCGACAGAAUAAUAAAUAAUGGAACCAGGUCCGGCGUAAACGCACAGACAGGAUAUUCCGACAGAAUAAUAAAUGAUGGAACCAGGUCCGGCGUAAACGCACAGACAGGAUAUUCCGACAGAAUAAUAAAUGAUGGAACCAGGUCCGGCGUAAACGCACAGACAGGAUAUUCCGACAGAGUAAUAAAGAACGGAAUAAUAUAAAAAUUUCACCAUGUAUACGGUACUUCGUAUAAACAGGUUAUUACAACAUAAUAAUAAAUAAUGGAAUAACAGAAGAAUUUCAUCAGAUUAUUCAAUAAGGAUUUCUACCUAUUGGCGCGCAAUUAGGUGACCAACCUCUCCUUGGCAGAACUUCUAGACAUUAUAAAUAUUAUAAUUUAAUAAUAUGAAUAACUUUGUCGUCUCAAUUAUUGAUUUAAUAAUAUAUCAUAUAAUGCAGAUGAUACUGUGACAAUAAUCGAAUCAAUAAUAUGAGAGAUAUGAUGCAACAAUUACUGUAGCAAUAAUUGAAUAUAACUGAGUGACUUCUCAUGUAAGCAUCAAUAACCAAUACCGUGUGCUACUAUAUAACCACGCGUAUAACUGUACUUUUACUACCGGAUAGUUCAACAGUUUUAACAGUAACACUUUCGCCGUUAUUUUUAUAACACGAUAAUUCUAUCGUUUUCUUACUACGAUAAUACUUCCGUUGUGGAGUCCACCAAUGAUUGUGCCGUCGUACGAAUAUUCCCUGUUAAAACGAAUAUUCUCCGACCAAUCGAAUAUUAUAUAACCACUUGCUUACUUUGUAAAAUUUAUAAAUAUUACCCAAAACUAUAACAUUAUAUCAUAUCCACACCAUAAUAUUCAAAAAUAUAUUUUGAGAGAAAUUAAUUUUUAUUCAUAAAAGUUGGGGUCUUACAAUAUUUAGUCUAGGACGCCAAAAUCGCUCCAGCAGAUGGACUAUAUUUAGUCGAUCAACUUUUUCGGCCGCUCAAAACGACCAAAUCUGCGAACGAAAAAUCAGCCAGACUAUAAUUUAAUAUAAUUAAAUGGAAAACUCUCUGUUAAAGAAAUUGAAGAAAAAAAAUAAGAAAAACUCUGUUGAAGAAGAUCUGUCGAAGAAGAAGGAGAUGAAGUGAGAGAACUGAAAGUGAAGUGAAGAAGAGAUGAACGGUAAUAAAGUACAAUCCAACGGAUAGAAAAAAAAAAUUCAGAACGGUAAUAAAGAGUACAAACGGAUAGAAAUUGAAAGCCUAAUUGGAAAUCUAUAAAUAUGUAUAAUAAUUCAAUUUAUUUUAUAUCUUUCAAUCAACUACUCCAACAUUUAGCAAUUGUAAGUAUUUUAUUAAUAAUAGUUUAUAUUUUUAUUAUAUUUGAUUUUUGUUUUUUAUUGAUAAUAUCUCUUUAAUUUAUUUUUUAGAUAAAAAAUUAUGAUCCUCCGAUGUAUUAUUCUUCAUUAUUAUCUGAAGGUUUCUCACUUGAUGAUCCAAAUUUGUUGGAUGAAUUUUCAAUUCAAAUUGAUGUACCAAUUCAGACUCCCAAAAAUGAGUCCAAUAAAAGAACAGGGCAAAAGAGAAAUUACACAAUUGAAGAAGAUGCUCUUCUUGUUUUCGAAUGGCUUAAUGUAAGUAUGGAUCCAAUUCAAGGAAACGAUCAAAAACAUGAAAGAUAUUGGGAAAGAGUUCACAAAUACAAAAAUUUUGAAUCUAAACGUAAUUCUACUGCUUUGGCGAAACGUUGGUCAACAAUUCAACUCGUGGUGAACAAAUUUUAUGGAUAUUAUGCUUCAAUUGAAAGAAUGCAACAAAGCGGUGUAAGCGAACAAGAUAAGGUAUUUCAAUUUUUUCAUAUAAAAUUUCAUUAAGUUUUAUUCUUAUAUUUUAUAUUUAAUACUUUGUAAAUAAUUUUUCAAUAGAUAUGUCAAGCAUUAGAGAUGUUCAAAAGUAUGCAAAAUCAACCAUUUGAAUUUAUGCAUUGUUGGAGAAUAUUAAAAGAUGCACCGAAAUAGAGAACAGAUAAUAGUAGAAAAAAAUAGAAAAAUAAUAGAAAGUCAAGUCCAACAGCAUCUUCUCCAUCAACUACAGAAGAAGUCAGUUUGGGUAAAGACGAUGGUAUUGAAGAUACAAUCUCUGCAAGAUUAGAGAGACCAAUAGGAAAAAAGGCUUCAAAAGCAUUAUUUAAAAAGGGCAAAGAAAUCGGUGAUACUAGUACACCUAUGGAGUUGAUGUUUGAGAAGUUCGAGCAUCAGAUUAAAUUGAACCAACAAAAGAGACAAGAGAACAUGGACAGAAUAUAUUUUCAAGAGCAAGAGAAGUUGAAUAUACUAAAAGCACAAGAAAAUGAAAGGAUCAUGAUGAUUGACACUGCUAACAUGGAGCUUAAAGUAGCUAAAUAUUACAAACAACGUAAGAAAGAAAUCAUGAAAAGAGUUACAUCUAAUAAUUGACUGGCUUAUUAUUGUAGUAGAAUAUAAUAGAGCCUGAAGUAGCUUAAUUUCCUUAUUAUUGUAGUAGAAUGUAAUGGAUUAGGCUCGGCCAUGUAGUGACCACAAGUGUUGAAUAAUAUCUUCUUGCAGUUUAGAAUGAACUUGUUUAUCCCUUAUGAAAGUAAUUGUGGGGUACGCUCAUGAGACACUUCUACAGUUGAAAUCUCGUCAUGUGUAUCGUAGGUUGUUGGUUCUUGAUUUUCAUCUCGUUCAUCUUCAACUAUCAUAUUAUGUAAUAUUAUGCAUACAGUCAUAAUUUCUUUUAGUGUUGUUUAAUCCCAAAAUCGUGCAGGACCACGAACUAUCACAAAACGUGCUUGCAGUACCCCAAAUGCUCGCUCAACAUCCUUUCUAAGCGCCUCUUGAGUCUUAGCAAAUAGUUUUCUUUUAUUUCCCUAAAGUGCCAAAAUGAUUUUAACAAAUAUUGUCCAUGGGGAAUAUAUACCAUCAACAAGAUAAUAUCCCAUCGUGUACUCAUUUUCAUUAAUUGAGUAGCUCACUGGUGGAGCACGACCUUCAGUAAGAGCAGAAAAGAUAGAUGAUCUCUCCAAAACGUUAAUAUCAUUAUGAGAGCUUGGUAAUCCAAAAAAUGCAUGUCAUAUCCAAAGAUCGUAUGAAACCACCGCUUCUAAAAUAAUUGUUGGCUCGUGCACAUAUCCAAAAUACAUAUCAUGCCAUGCAACUAGACAAUUCUUCCAUUUCUAAUGCAUACAAUCGAUGCUCCCCAACAUCCUAAGAAAACCACGCUCUUCAACUUUUGAUAGCAAUCUAACGAUGUCAUUACUAUUGGGUAAUCUCAAAUAUUCAUCACCAAAAAUUGAAAUGAAUGCUUUUACAAACCUUUUAAGACUCAAUAUAGCCAUGCUUUCACUGAUUCGCACAUAAUCAACGGAAUCCGCUGAAACACCAUAGGCAAACAUCCGUAUUGAGACAGUUAUCUUUUGUAGAGAAGAUAAACCGAGAUGUCCUGCAGCAUUCAUUUUUAGUACGAAAUAUGAAUUAUACGCUUCAACUGCUCUUUGAAUUCAGAAGAAAAACAGACACCACAUUCUAAACCUUCUCCAAAAUAGAUACCGAGGAGGGGGGUAUGUAGAAUUUUCUACAAAAUAAUCACAAAAAAAUCGAUUAUGACCUUCAUGUCUACCACGAUCAAUGAUAAUACAACCUUACACAGAACCACGAUGACGUAAUGUAUACCUAUUGACAUUUUUUUUUUCUUCUACAAUAACCAACAUGCCUAAUAAUUGUCCAUAUACUUUUUCAUCUUCUUCUUCAUCCACGUGCAACAUAACUAAUUCAAAUUAACAAGACAUUUAAAAUAACUUAUUUGACUGAAAAAAUAAAAUUAAAAUGAAUAAAUAUGAAAGAUUAGAUGCGACAUAUAUUUUAUAAAUACUAUUUAUUUAUUAAAAUAUAACCAUUAUAAUAUGACCGUUAAAAUAUGACCAUUAAAAUAUAGUCGUUGAAUUAUGCCCGUCAAAAUUUUUUUGAAUUAAUUGAUUAUUUUAAUUAUUUUAUAUUAUAAUCGACGAGAUAAUCCACAAGAUAGUCCAUCUGUUAAAAAAGAGCGAAGACUAAAAAACAUUUGCUAAUAUCAGAUAGACUAAAUAUAGUCCAGCAGAUCUAUCUAUUGGAGAUGCUCUAAACAGAAAUAGAUCAUAACUACAGUGAAGUUUAUCGGAUAUGCUUAGAUAUGGAGUAUGCAAGAAUUUAUGACAUCUAAUGUACUCAGAAAAAGGAUUUAACUAGCACAACUUUGCAGAAUUGUAACCCAACUCAGCGGCUUUAUCAUAAAAGUUUUGACAAAAAAAUAACCCACAACAGUUUAAAAUGAUAAUUGAGAAGAAAUAAAUGUCUAGCAUAGGAAGUUUUGAACUAUCAGCUCCAGCCAAAAACCAAAUAUAACUCAACACAUACAAGCAGUGAGUAAUCAAUCUUACUCAUGACAAAAAAUGAGAAGUGAUUUCAGCCAGUCCCAACACAAUAAACAAAGUAUACCAUUUAUGGACAGAAUAGAUGAGAUAGAGAAUAUACCUGAAAGAACAAUAUACAUUUAAAUAUACAUACAGAUUUUAAACAAUGUAUAGAUAUGCAUGUACAAAUACUUUAAUUACUUAAAAUACAUUCGUGUUUAAAAAAAACUGUAGAUAAGAAAUUUGUUGUUUUUGAAAGAAAUUUUAAUAUACUCUAAAAAAAUUACAAAUCUAGUCACGAAAAUUAGGAUUUAAACAGUUGUCACAAUCGUUGUUAAAAAAAUGAUUUGUUAGAUUAGAACUCAGAUCUUGAGCACUAAAUCUAACUAAAUUUGUUUAUCUGAAAACUCAUUUAAUCAAAAUGAACAACGAAACUUAACAGAUGAGAACGUUAAGAGUUUUCAGAUCUACAAACUUAGGGUUUUCCCCUUUUUAAAAAAAAAAUUGACACAAAUUAACACCAAAUACUGGUUUUUGAAAAAUAGAUUUUGAGAUAUAAAACUAUCCAUACUUAUUAAAAAAAAAAUCAGAGAAAGCCAACGGACAAAAAUGAACUGCAGAGAAAAACAAAAAGUAGAAUCAAACAAAUAAUUAGUAGAAGUAUGAUUUUGAGGGUGAUGAAUCGAUUGAUAGGAGCAGAUUAAUCGAAAUUGAAAUAAAAAUCAAGGACUUUUUACAGAGAACAGGGUUAGGGUUGAGAGAAUUUUGGGGAGAGAGAAAUGAGAUCCGGAAGAUAACAGAGAAGAGGAAGAGAAAUGAAAUUAAAAAU
rnacentral:lncRNA from 1 species